rnacentral:rRNA from 1 species
CCUACGGGAGGCAGCAGUGAGGAAUAUUGGUCAAUGGGCGCGAGCCUGAACCAGCCAAGUCGCGUGAAGGAUGACUGCCCUACGGGUUGUAAACUUCUUUUAUAGAGGAAUAAAGUGCCGCACGUGUGCGUUUUUGUGUGUACUUUGUGAAUAAGGAUCGGCUAACUCCGUGCCAGCAGCCGCGGUAAUACGGAGGAUCCGAGCGUUAUCCGGAUUUAUUGGGUUUAAAGGGAGCGUAGGCGGGUUGUUAAGUCAGGUGUGAAAGUUUGCGGCUCAACCGUGAAAGGGCAAUUGAUACUGGCAGCCUUGAGUACGGUUGAGGUAGGCGGAAUGCGUGGUGUAGCGGUGAAAUGCAUAGAUAUCACGAAGAACUCCGAUUGCGAAGGCAGCCUACUAAACUGCAACUGACAUUGAUGCUCGAAAGUGUGGGUAUCAAACAGGAUUAGAUACCCCAGUAGUC